AGCCGCCUGAGGUUGGAUCUAGAACAGAGCAAUGAAUCAGCCAGCAAGAUCACAGGGACAUGGUAUGUGAAGGCCAUGGUGGUUGACAAGGACCUACCUAAGGAGAAGAGGCCCAGGAAGGUGUCCCCUUUGAUGGUUACUGUCCUGGAUGGUGGAGACGUGGAGGCCAUUUUCACCUUCAUAUGGGGGCAAGAGGCAUAUGGACACCCGGGAGCUGUCAGUGAAGGACCACCACAUCUUUUACUGCGAGGGCCAGCUUCAAGGGAA